GAUGAAGAACGUAGCGAAAUGCGAUAAGUAAUGUGAAUUGCAGAAUUCAGUGAAUCAUCGAAUCUUUGAACGCACCUUGCGCCCUUUGGCCAUUCCGAAGGGCAUGCCUGUUUGAGUAUCAUGAACACCUCAACUCUUCAUGGUUCUCCAUGAUGAGCUUGGACUUUGGGGGUCUUGCUGGCCUGUGGGUCGGCUCCUCUCAAAUGAAUCAGCUUGCCGGUUUUUGGUGGGCAUCACAGGUGUGAUAACUAUCUACGCUUGUGGUUUUCCACCAGGGUAACCUUCAGCAGUGGAGGUUCACUGGAGCUUACAAAUGUCUCUCCUCUGUGAGGACAGCCCUUUGAAUGUUUGAUCUCAAAUCAGGUAGGACUACCCGCUGAACUUAAGCAUAUCAAUAAGCGGAGGA
rnacentral:misc_RNA from 1 species